GUCCACGCCCUAAACGAUGUCAACUGGUUGUUGGGGUUUGACACUCUCAGUAACGAAGCUAACGCGUGAAGUUGACCGCCUGGGGAGUACGGCCGCAAGGUUAAAACUCAAAGGAAUUGAUGGGGACCCGCACAAGCGGUGGAUUAUGUGGAUUAAUUCGAUGCAACGCGAAAAACCUUACCUACCCUUGACAUGUCCUGAAGCCUGGUGAGAGCCGGGUGUGCCCGAAAGGGAACGGGAACACAGGUGCUGCAUGGCUGUCGU
rnacentral:rRNA from 1 species